rnacentral:rRNA from 1 species
UACGUAGGGCGCAAGCGUUGUCCGGAAUUAUUGGGCGUAAAGAGCUCGUAGGCGGCCUGUUACGUCUGCUGUGAAAUCCCGGGGCUUAACCCCGGGCGUGCAGUGGAUACGGGCAGGCUGGAGGCAGGCAGGGGAGAACGGAAUUCCCGGUGUAGCGGUGAAAUGCGCAGAUAUCAGGAGGAGCACCGGUGGCGAAGGCGGGGUCUCUGGGCCGUAACUGACGCUGAGGAGCGAAAGCGUGGGGAGCGAACAGG